rnacentral:rRNA from 1 species
GAUCUCUUUGAGGCCCGUUAUCGGAAUGAGAACAAUUUAAAUCCUUUAACGAGGAUCUAGCGGAGGGCAAGUCUGGUGCCAGCAGCCGCGGUAAUUCCAGCUCCGCAGGUGUAUAUCUAUGCUGCUGCGGUUAAAAAGCUCGUAGUUGGAUCUGCGUGCUCGGAACCGGUUGGCUCACUGAGUUCAAACUGGUCUCCGGCGCUUUAUUGGCUGGUUUUCCCUUGAUGCUCUUAACCGGGUGUCUUGGGUGGCUAGCACGUUUACUUUGAAAAAAUUAGAGUGCUCAAUACAGGCGCAAAGCCUUGAAUAGUGGUGCAUGGAAUAAUAGAAUAGGACCUCGGCUCUAUUUUGUUGGUUUUCGGAACGCGAGGUAAUGAUUAAGAGGGACAGACGGGGGCAUUCGUAUUGCGACGUUAGAGGUGAAAUUCUUGGAUCGUCGCAAGACGGACGACUGCGAAAGCAUUUGCCAAGAAUGUUUUCAUUAAUCAAGAACGAAAGUUAGAGGUUCGAAGGCGAUCAGAUACCGCCCUAGUUCUAACCGUAAACGAUGCCAACUAGCGAUCCGCAGGCGUUAAACAACGACCUUGCGGGCAGCUUCCCGGAAACGAAAGUGUUCGGGUUCCGGGGGAAGUAUGGUUGCAAAGCUGAAACUUAAAGGAAUUGACGGAAGGGCACCACCAGGAGUGGAGCCUGCGGCUUAAUUUGACCCAACACGGGAAAACUCACCCGGCCCGGACACCGUAAGGAUUGACAGAUUGAGAGCUCUUUCUUGAUUCGGUGGGUGGUGGUGCAUGGCCGUUCUUAGUUGGUGGAGCGAUUUGUCUGGUUUAUUCCGAUAACGAACGAGACUCUGGCCUACUAAAUAGUGGGCGGAUUCUUUCUGUCCGCAACACUUCUUAGAGGGACAAGCGGUGUUCAGCCGCACGAGAUUGAGCAAUAACAGGUCUGUGAUGCCCUUAGAUGUCCGGGGCUGCACGCGCGCUACACUGAAGGAAUCAGCGUGCUUUCUGACCUUGCCCGAAAGGGCUGGGUAACCCGAUGAAAAUCCUUCGUGAUUGGGAUAGGGACUUGCAAUUAUUUCCCUUGAACGAGGAAUUCCCAGUAAGUGUGGGUCAUAAGCUCGCGUUGAUUACGUCCCUGCCCUUUGUACACACCGCCCGUCGCUGCCCGGGACUGAGCCGUUUCGAGAAGAACAGGGACCGUCGUUGAAGGGCCCUAACGGGCUUUUCUCUGAUAGAAACUGUUUU